GAGGGUAUAGCUCAGUGGUAGAGUAUGUGCUUAGCAUGCAUGAGGUCCUGGGUUCAAUCCUCAGUACCUCCA
rnacentral:tRNA from 1 species